GUUUGCUUUCUCUUAUUUUUUAGUGUAAAUUGACAUUGCGAUAAGACGUGUCACGGUACUUGUCUAUCCCAAAUUCAUGUAUUUGGUUUUGAUGUUAUAUUUGUUAUUCUCGUGGGAUUUUGUCUGAUGCUUGGUCCGUUUCUGUGUGUGUUAGUUACAUUGUAGUGUUGUGUCGUUGUUCUCUCUUAUAUUUAUGCAUUUCCGUCAGUUUUAGUUUGUUACCCCGAUUUUGUUUUUUGUCCAUGGAUUUAUGAGUUUGAACAGCGGUAUACUACUGUUGCCUUUAUUUA
rnacentral:lncRNA from 1 species